rnacentral:lncRNA from 1 species
AUUCAGUAAGAAAAUUUGAAAACAUGAAUAUAGGAUAUAAUUAUCAUAUCAGAGUAAUUAGUGUUUUUUUUUUCUUUUUUGGUAUUAGGAGUUGAAACCAGGGCCACUGAGAUACACUCCGAUCCCUUAUUUGUUUUUGAGACAUGGUCCAGCUAAGUUGCCAGGCUGGCCUUGAGUUUGGUAUCUUUGUGCCUCAACCUCCUGAUUAGCUGGAUUGUAAGCAUGUGCUAAUAUAUCUGGCAGAAUAAUUAGCAUUUCUGUCUCCAGUAUUUAUAAUUUCUUUGUUUUGGAGGCGUUUGAAAUAUUUUCUUCAAGUUCUUUAUUAUAAAAUAUAUAUUAAACUUGUUAACUAUAGUUACUGUCUUAGCUUUACAUUGCUGUGACAAAAAUACCUGACAAAAACAACCUAGCAGAGUGAAAUUUUAUUUUGGCUCACAAGUCCAAAGGUUCAGUUUGUCUUUGGCUGAGUCCACUGCUUUGAUCCCCAAGAUGAGGUGGAGUAUCACGACCAGAAUGCCCCCAGAAGAAAACUGCUCAGCUUAUGCAGCCAUCAGGAAAUAGAAAAGGAGAAGAUGGAAGGGGGAACACAGUGAAGAUGAAAACUUCCAAGCCACACCCCCAGUGACUCCCCUCUUCUAGCUAUACCCCAUCUGCUUACAGUUAUUAUCCAGUCAGUCCAUUCAAACUAAGGGGGACUGAUUUGGAUUACAGGUCUCCUAAUCUAAUCGUUUCACCUCUUAUUAUUCCUGCAGGGACACAGGAGUUUUGGGGGACACCUCAUAUCCAUACUAUAACAAUAACCCUACUGGGCUGUAGAACACUAUCUCUUCCCAUCCAUGUUGACAUAAAUCACAUGAUUUUACCUUUUUUUAUGGAUGUAAAAAAGUAUACACACACAGAGUCAUGUACACACCACAUUUUCUUCAUCUAACUUCUGAUGGACGACUCAUUUGAUUGCAUAUGUUGGAUCUUCUGAAUAGUACUAGAAUGAUCAUGAGAAUAUAGGAGUCUCUUUGAUGCAGUGAUUUUUAUUUCCUUUGGAUCUGACUUCAUUAGUAUCUUCUAAUGGUAGUUCUCUAUGAGAAUAGUGUUACAAUAGUCUGUUUUCUUAGAAACUUUGUAAAAUUAGUCACUACAGAGAUUAGAAGUUGUAAAUAAUAUGGAUAUAUUCAGAUCAAGAUUAGAAGUUGUAAAUAAUAUGGAUAUAUUCAGGACAAGUCAGUUAUUUCCCAUAAUAACGACAGCUGAAUAAUAUAUCCAAACUUGAAACAAAGAAACUUACUUACUUUUACAUUGACUUGAAUUGAAUAAAUUCGUCCCUUUUCUGAGAAUAAGUUACUGCAAUUAUUUUGUAGGUUGAUCUUGUAAUUUGUGGUUAACUUAUCUAUUGGUAAAACUCUCUUUAAUGAACUUGCCUAGACACUGAAUUCAAAUUAUAUAGACCAAUUAGGCAUUUUAUCUGCCAAGUGUCUUGUGGCCCAGAGUGCUAUUGGAGCAAAAAUAACAAAUGCAUCCAUUAGAAAUUGUUGAAGUCAUAAUGACACUUUCAUAUAAGCCUUGUUAUUUAAUUUGUGUGAGAUGAUUACAUGGCAAAAUUUAGAAAUGUAGUUUGAAGAGGUUGUAGACUUUUCUUUACUUUAUGAGGAAAAUGAAAACAUUAAGGAAUCACCAGAGGACAUAGUGUCCUUUUUUUCCUGCCCUCUGUCACAAAGGGCUGACACAAUUGGUAUAAUUAAUUUUACCAAUUAAUUAAUUUUUGUUUCAUUGGUAUACUCUAUCAAAAUUAUUGAUAGAAUUAAUACAUGAAUGAAUAGUAGGUGUAAGAAUUUUGCCCUCUAGUGAAAUGAAGGCCAAGUUUGCCCUUCAGCUUUACCCUGUUUUAUCCUAUUCUUUGUUAGGGGUUAGGUCAAGAAUCAGGUCUUUUUUAUUGUACCAUGAUGCUAGAAUAAAAAAAGUGGGGAAAAUUGCAUGGUUUUUAAGUUGCCUAUUUCAUCAAUUAAAAAGGUAUGCUUCCAGAUUUCUAGUUGGGUUUUUUUUUGAAAUGGAAAUAAUCUCUUAAGGUGUUGUCCAUUUUAUUGGGUGUCUCAAAUUCCUUAAAGUUUUUCUCACUGGAGAAUAAAUCUAUAGGAUGUUGUAUAACAUGGGUUCAUUUGAAGUUUUCCAUUGUGAAAGAUCUUAAUUAGAUAUAUCAAGGGGGCAUUGCUAUUGGAAAGCAUAUGGCAGAGUUUAUGUGUUAGUGGGUAAGAAUAAUUAAUUGACCAUAUAAAAAUGAAUGAAAAUGUAUAUGUAAUUCUGUGACCUGAAAACUAUAUAAUAUGAAAAUGAUUACAUUUUAGUAUAAAUAAAUUAAAAAUUUAUUCCUAAAAUGGGAAAAAAAUUGAGGAUAAUGUCAUUAUAGAUUUAUUAAUACAUAUUUCUUAAAAUGAGUUUAUUCUAUUUCACUGUUAAUUCUGAAGAGCUGAGGCAAAAAGAUGGAUACAAAUAAGGAUUUCCUUAGAAAUUUUAUGCAUUGCAGAUACUGUUCAUGCUCCAUUAUAUGACUGUUCUGGUACUGCUUCUAUAGCUGAAGGCUGAAGGCUUUGUCAUCUAAACCAAUUUACUUUUUUUUAACCCAAUUCCCUUGCUUCCAGAGGUUCUUCAAUAUAUCUUUUGGGUGUGGCAGUUGUGAAAACAUGAUGGAACUCAUUCUUUUUUUUUUUUUUUUAUAAAUCUGAAGUUGGCCUUUUUAAAAGUGUUAGAGAAGACACAAAUGACGUCAGUUGAAAAUAUUUAGAGCAUAUUAUACAACAAUAAAAAUGGAAACUUCCCAUUGUUAGGCACUGGGCAAAAGAUGUUUUAUAAUUUUUAUUGGUUCAUGUUAACUAUAAUGAGGGGAUCAAUUAUGCUGUACAUGCACAACACAAAAUUUGGUCUAUUUAUUCUCCUGGGUUCAUAAAAUUUGUUGCAUACCUUUAAUUGUAUUCUUCUACACCUUAGGCAAACAAAAAAGCCAAAAGUAUUUGUUUUUCCUUACAAUGAUCUUUGCAAUUAAAACCUUACAUAUGUAAUACUUGCAGGCAUAUACAGCAAAUAUAUUCUUUUUUCCCUCUUGUUAGUAUUGUAAAACAUUUCUAAAUCUUCAAAUUUUAUUAUUUUUUAGGAAAUAAUAAGCUUAUGAGUCUAGGGAAAUACUUGGGAGAAUUGUGGUGGCAUAAUAGUAUUUCAGUGCAGAUAUAAUAAUUGAAUGACUAAUGUGUAUGAGUUUCUUGUAUUCUACAAGAGUCAGAAUGAAAUUAAUCAUGUAUUACUUUUCAUUCUUUUUAUUUGUAUUGUUUUAAUCUUUCCUGAAAUCUAAUUAGAGGAACACAAGCACAUUGAUUGUUAAUGAGUUUAUUAGGAUGUUUUAAAAAUGGUUUCUUUGAUAAAAUAGCUGUUUUCCUAGGGGAAAUUUCCAAAAACACAUUUGGUAAAUAUAGUCUUAAAUGUUUUAGUAUGGAAUAAAUUUUAUGUUCAUUUUUUUCAGUGUUUUAAGAGUAAUAAAGAAGGAGAUUAAAAAUGCUUUAUAUAUCAAUUAGAAGCAUUUUUAAAGUACAUUUGAGAAUUCACUCUAUGCAGCGUCUCAAUGUAACUGUUUUCUGACAUUUUCUUGGUUAAAUAUAGAGAUUGUUAGCCAUGAGUUUGAACUAUAUAGAAAGAUGACUAAAGAAAAGACUACCUUUGAAUGAUGUAAAUUGAAUUCCUUUGAUUAGACUUUGGUAUUAAGAAUUUAGUAUUCUUUUCCCAGGAAUACUACAUGCACAGAACUGUUAAAUGCAGAACUCUAUUUAUCUGCUUAUUUAUUUAUUUAUUUAUUUAUUAGUUGUUGAUGGACCUUUAUUUUAUUUCCUUACUUAUAUGUAGUGCUGGGGAUCAAACCCAGUGCCUCACACAUAUGAGGCAAGUGCUCUACUGCUGAGCUAUAACUCCUGUCCCAUGAGCUACAACUCCAGCCCCUGGAAUUUUGUUAAGGCUGCUAUAUGUGUAGAACUCAUGGGUAUAUCUAUGUUUUGCAAAUGUCUCACUGUUAAAUGUCUAUGAUAUGAGCUUUCCUUUUCAUGAUGAAGUUGCAGAAGAGAUCAACCUUUAUGAACACUAACAUUGACAACCAGGUGGGCUUUGUAUGACAGAGGUAUGUGUAUGCCACUCAAAACUGUUAGGGAAUAUUUCUAAUAAGAAAAAUGUCUGAUACUUUGCAUUUGAGGAAUGAUUAUGAUUCUGUUUAUUGCUUAGAGGGAUUGCUAAACUACUUUAAAUUUAGCAAAUUUAAGAUAUGGAUUUAGUAUAUAAGGAUGGAGUUUUAGCAGCUGGGCCUAUGUUCAGAGAUGGUUUUUAUAUGACUUCCAUGUGAAAAGAUUGAAAGAGUCAUUGGAUCAUUGCCCUCAAUUUUUAGAUUUUGGUAUAUGAUAGGAAAUGUUCUUAUAAUAUAUGUAGCAUAUAUAACUAUAUAUCUACCUGUUAUGGAUAUGAGUGAUACACACAUAUAUUCAUGUCAUAUAUACAUGGUAUAUAUGCAAGUUUUGGUUUACAUUUUUUUUUGUUUUCAGUUGUUAUGUACAUGUUCACAUGUUGUUUACAUUUGUAGAUGUGGAGAAUUUUCUGUCACAUUUUGUGAAUAUAUUUUGCAUAAAAUAAAUAGGAUAAAUAAAAAAAUAAAAUAAAUUAUAGGACAGAAAGUGUUUUUUUGUUAAUUGAAAUGCAAUUAACAAAAUGCAAAAACCCAAGCCUCUAUUUAGUAGAAUUUUUACACAGAUAUGUAUAUAUAGUUAGUACGUUUUAAAACAUGUUUCAAGAAAUGUAUGACUUCUGAAAUCCUUCUUGCAAUUAAUCAAUCCAUAUUUCUGUGUUACGAAUCAUUAUUUGUGAUUAGAGUCAUUUUGUAAAAUGAUUCAUUACCUUUGCUCUUAACUUUUUUUUGCCUUUUUGUCUGUGAGGAGGCAUGAACACACUGUGUUGAGCUAGAAUUAACUAAAUGUCAGAAUCACAUCUGUGUGUUCAUGUGUGUGCACGCAUGAAUGUGUAGUAUGUGGAUGUGAGAGUAUAUACAAAAAGUAUACAUUUAUAUGUUUUGAACAUUUUCCCACAGAAUGGCAUUGCUGAUGCAUGUACAUUUUGGAAAAUAACCUUUUUAAAUUAAUACAGCCAUGUAAUUUUGUACACAUUAAAAUUUAUUGUUGGAAGGUAUGUGGAAAGGAUGGAUUUUUUUAUGAUCACAGUUUCAUGUACAUGUACAAUCCUUUUGCUUACUUCUGUUUUUGUUUUGGUAGAGAUGGUGAACAUUUAUAUAUUGCAACCAUUACUUUGUUAAACUGUUUAACUAGUUGAAAUAUAAAUAAUUAUAAAUGAUUUUAACAGCAUUAGGUGGUUAGCUUUGGGGGUGUUUAUUAAACAUCUGUAAUAGUUGCUUUAUAAUAUUUCAGCUUUUUUAGUUAGAUGCAUGUGAGUUGAUGAGAAUUAGAAAAAUAAGAAAUAUUUUUCUUUUAAUGGUAAAGUAUUAUUUUUACCUUUUGGAAAAACGUGAAUAUAUUUCUGUGACUGUACAAAUUACUUGUACAUUACAUUGACAAAAGCUUCUGUGCUUUCAUGUUAUUAGUACAUAUAUUGUCAUGUUAGAGAAGAUAGUGGUAUUUUACCACAUUUACAAGUAAAAUUAGAUUAUCAUUCCAGGGUGUCCAUUUAAUGUAAAUACAAUGUGUCUAUGUAACAGAUAAGUAGACAUGUCUUAUUUUGCUAAACUUACGUUCGUGAUGCAAUUCUUUCUUUUUACAUGUUUUAUAGAAUUUCUAAAUUAUGUGGUUCUUUUUUUUACUACAUGGCAAAAAAAACCACAACUUUAUAAAUAAUGGGGAAAUAUUUUUUUUUUAUUUCAAACAUGUAUUUCUAGCGUCUCACAAGUAUAAAUUUUGUAAAUCCAUAAAAUUAGUAGUGCUAUGGUCAUUUUUGGUUAAUGUGGCAGUUAAAUUGGUUAUUCAUAAGUAGCUCUUAGAGCUAGAAAAAUUUAUCAUAUAUUAAUAUAGAUGUUAGAAGGAGAAAAUAAGAAAAUAGGAAGACACUAUGCAAUUAACUCCAUUUCCAUGGAAGUCUACAGUUUGCCAUGUAUGAAUUGCAUAUUUAAAAAUACUCAGAUGAAAUAACAGUUAAAUCCAGUCGUCUUUUCUGGAUGUUCCAAGCUUCCUUAUAUCUUUUUUCUCCUUUGCUGUCAAUAUUCAAGAUAUAAAUGAUUAAAGAGAGUUUGUACUACCUCUUGGAACUAUACAAUGUUCUGUAUGUGUUCCCUUGGUUGCAUGACAAUAUUCAAGACAACUUUGUAAAUAAUGGUAAAGCCAAAAUUUUAAUUUUCAACAUCUAGUUGUCCUUCUAGAUGUAUAGAGUCUCACAAAGUAUAAUUUUGUAAAUAAGUCAUUGUAAAAUUUCAUGAUUUGAUUGUUUUUUUGAAAUUUUUUGCUAAUGAAAUAAAGUUGUGGGUUUUAUUAAAUAUCUGUUUAUUGAGUUAUGGGAAGGAAAAGGUUAAAAUAUGUGUAUUUUAAGCUUUUGAGUUUCCAUCAAAAGAAAAAAAAUACAUUUUAACCAUAGUUAUUUGCUUGUAUUAUAUACUUAAAACUUCAUAAGUUUGUAGUUGUAUUUGCUACAUUUUAAUAGUAUUUUUAUAAUCAUUGUAGAAAAUGCCUUUUAUAAGAAAAAUUUCCUUCUACCUCUUUGACUUAAUAUAGUAUUAUAUGUUUUUGGACUGCAUGACAAAAUUCAAGACAACUUUGUAAAUACCAGUUACCCUUGUCAUUUGAAAAUAACUAGUUUUGCCAGGUGCUCUGGGUCUCAAGAAAGUAUAAAUUUGUAAAUAUUUCAUUGUAAAACUCCAUAGUUAAAUUGAUUGCUGUAAAUGCUUUUACAGUCCAUUGGUUAAUUAAUAUAAAGACAAACAUUUUGCUGUUUUGUGAGAGAGCAAUAGUUAAAUUGUCUGUAUCUCCUCACUGAUCAGGAUCAUUGCUGUUUGUGUGCAUUAUAUAUUUAAACAAUUACCCUGGCAUACAGUUUGACCUCAGGUACCAAGUAGAAGAUAUGAGAAGGAAAUUCCCAUUUUAAAAAAGAGACAGAGAGUUAAAAAGAUUGGUACAAUUAUUGUUACCUGGCUGUAUUUAUUCUCUGCAAAUUUACUUGCAUGUACAUGCAUUUAAAAUCAUGUUUUAGUUAAAUAGUUGGGAUAUUUCUCAUUCCAGCUUUUCUCAUUUGUUUGUUUAAUGAUUUAUAUUUUAUUUUACUUUAAUUUUUAUAUUUUUGCUUGGGAUUGUUCCGAGAGACUCAUGAAUGAUAUAGGCUUGUGCUCUGCCACUACGCUAUAUCCCCAGGCCUUUUUAUUUUACAAAUGAUGAAACUUUUAUUUUUUAAGCUUGAACAUAUUUCUAGAAUCCAAUUUAUUAUUAUUUCUAACUAUAAUUUUAUAGUAAUACUAAGCUCUAUUACUUUGAAUUCCAAAUCUGUUUCCAUGUUUGUAUAUCCCUGUGAGAACAAAACAACAAUAAUUAUGAAUAGUUUGGUUUUUCUGAUAUUAUUUUUGAAAUUUUCUUGUGACCUAUAUAUAAUUCAUGUAUGUGAUAAUCAAAGACAAGUCAUGUGUUACCUGUUACAUAAAGAAGGAUUUUUUUAAAUAAAAAUUCUGGUGUUGAUCAAAGUAUAAAUCCUCAUUUUUUGAAUAGAAUUUGGUAUAGAUCAUCAAAUUCUGUGGGUAUAAAAUAUUUUAAAUGUAAUAAUUGGCUAUUGGAAUAGCCAAUUCCAAAUGUUGGAAUACUUAAACAUUUGCUAGGAGGAAAGUAUUAUGUGUUUACUUUAAAAACAUAAUGUAAACAACUGAAAUAUCAACCAGUGAAAGAAAGAUUGUAUUUAUUAUAGCUUACUCAACAUCAAUGUAACUUUUGCACAGAAAUAUUUCAAUAUUGAUGUAGGUUUUGAAGUAUUUUGAGUUGAACAGAUAUUGAAUAAUUGUUUGUUAUAGAUUUGAAUGCUUAUGCCUCUUUGUCCUAGCUGAAGUAUUAAUGGUUAACUAUAAAAUAUUUAUAACAUUUUGGAAAUGAGAUUUUUAUAGUGAGGUAAUAUUUCCUAUUGUUAAAAUGUUAUUUUAUAAUUCUGUUGGCAUUUUUAUAUAUGAGUUAAAAUUCAAAAGAUGCAUCCACAGUUGUAAAUUGCUACGUGAAAAAAAUCUAAAAUGAAUAUGUCUAAUGGAAAUAGAAAAAUUGUCUGGAAGAAUAAGGUAAAAACUUACCAGUCCUCUGUAGAGAGAUGAGAAUAGAAGGAGUGUUUCUUUUACCUUCUUUUGGUUUUUAUAAAGGUAUUAAAAUAUGAACAACUAAACAAGAAAGAAGUGUUAAGGAGACAGUUUGUACGUAUUUUCAUUCUUGCAACUCACCAUCGUUGGAGCAUUUGGUUGUCAUAUCCAGCUUUGUCUUCCCAGAGGCCUUUGUGAAUGAUUUUUUUCAAUGAUUUUAUGAAGAGUAUGCAAUUUAAGAGAAUAAAUAGUAUUGGAUUAUCCAAGAAAAGAAGGAAGAAGAUGGAAUUAUAGGUAGGUGCCAAGCAGUUGUAUUUUGAUAAACAAAUGAGUAAAAAAUAGAACUAAAAAUUCUGUAAAGUGAGUGAAUUUUAAUAACAAGAUCAUAUUUACAGGGACUAAUUAGAGAUAUUGUAGAGAUGUUGCAUUUGAUGUAAAAGCAUGUAACCACAUGCUUUACCACUGAACCUUGUUUCUAGGCUUCUUAUUUAAUUUUGAUUUGAAUGAAGAAUGGAUUGUUUGUUUGCUUGUUUUUUCCUUUGGUUCAUUGUGCUGAAAGAUUUCAAAUAAGAUUUUAGUAUUUUAUAGAUCACACAAAAUUAGCAGGGGAAAUAUUUGAAUAUUUUUGGCAUUUGUGCUAACCAUGUUGGCUAAAAUAGAAAGUGUUUUUUGCAAUUGUGUUUGCUGAUUGAAUAUGCCUGAUCAACAUGAUGUUAUCCUGAUUUAUAUGUUCUUAUGCUUGGUUCAUAUCUAUCCAUUGCUCAUUGAAUGUUUUAUUUUUCAGGUAUUCACAAUGAGAGAUAUAUUGAAGGUAACUUGAGUACAGCUGAUGAAAUCAUCAGGAAUAUCUUGCUUUGGAGUCCUUAAUUUUUACAUCUUAACUGCAAAGCAUAGGUAAGAAGAUUCUGGUGCCAUUUUCAGGUGAGACAUUAAAUAAGCUCAGGAAACUAGUUCUGAUAUACACACUUUCCUGUGGAAUUUUUUUUUAAUUCUGAUUUGUUACACAUGAUGGCAGAAUGCAAUUCAUUUCAUAUUAUAAAUAUAGAGCA